rnacentral:rRNA from 1 species
AGUGAACGCUGGCGGCAGGCCUAAUACAUGCAAGUCGAACGGCAGCACAGCAGAGCUUGCUCUGUGGGUGGCGAGUGGCGGACGGGUGAGGAAUACAUGGGAAUCUGCCCAGUCGUGGGGGAUAACGUAGGGAAACUUACGCUAAUACCGCAUGCGCCCUUCGGGGAAAGCCGGGGACCUUCGGGCCUGGCGCGAUUGGAUGAGCCCAUGUCGGAUUAGCUAGUUGGCGGGGUAAUGGCCCACCAAGGCGACGAUCCGUAGCUGGUCUGAGAGGAUGAUCAGCCACACUGGAACUGAGACACGGUCCAGACUCCUACGGGAGGCAGCAGUAGGGAAUAUUGGACAAUGGGCGCAAGCCUGAUCCAGCCAUGCCGCGUGAGUGAAGAAGGCCCUCGGGUUGUAAAGCUCUUUUGUCCGGAAAGAAAAGCGCCGGGUUAAUACCCUGGUGUCCUGACGGUACCGGAAGAAUAAGCACCGGCUAACUUCGUGCCAGCAGCCG